GGAUGCGAUCAUACCAGCACUAAAGCACCGGAUCCCAUCUGAACUCCGAAGUUAAGCGUGCUUGGGCGAGAGUAGUACUAGGAUGGGUGACCUCCCGGGAAGUCCUCGUGUUGCAUUCC
rnacentral:rRNA from 1 species